AUUGAACGCUGGCGGCAGGCCUAACACAUGCAAGUCGAGCGGAGCGGCGGACGGGUGAGUAAUGCCUAGGAAUCUGCCUGGUAGUGGGGGAUAACGUCCGGAAACGGGCGCUAAUACCGCAUACUAUCAGAUGAGCCUUGGUCGGGUUAGCUAGUUGGUGGGGUAAAGGCCUACCAAGGCGACGAUCCGUAACUGGUCUGAGAGGAUGAUCAGUCACACUGGAACGGAGAAACGGUCUAGACUCCUACGGGAGGCAGCAGUGGGGAAUAUUGGACAAUUGGCGAAAGCCUGAUCGAGCCAUGCAGCGUGUGUGAAGAAGGUCUUCGGAUUGUAAAGCACGUUAAGUUGGGAGGCGUUACCAACAGAAUAAGCACCGGCUAACUUCGUGACAGCAGCCGCGGUAAUUC
rnacentral:rRNA from 1 species